rnacentral:rRNA from 1 species
AACGCUAGCUACAGGCUUAACACAUGCAAGUCGAGGGGCAUCAGGGUAGCAAUACCGCUGGCGACCGGCGCACGGGUGAGUAACACGUAUCCAACCUACCGUUAACUCGGGGAUAGCCUUUCGAAAGAAAGAUUAAUACCCGAUAGUAUAUUUUCUUCGCAUGUUGAAAAUAUUAAAGAAUUUCGGUUAUCGAUGGGGAUGCGUUCCAUUAGGCAGUUGGCGGGGUAACGGCCCACCAAACCUACGAUGGAUAGGGGUUCUGAGAGGAAGGUCCCCCACAUUGGAACUGAGACACGGUCCAAACUCCUACGGGAGGCAGCAGUGAGGAAUAUUGGUCAAUGGACGCGAGUCUGAACCAGCCAAGUAGCGUGAAGGAUGACUGCCCUAUGGGUUGUAAACUUCUUUUAUAUGGGAAUAAAGUUCUCCACGUGUGGAGUUUUGUAUGUACCAUUAUGAAUAAGCAUCGGCUAACUCCGUGCCAGCAGCCGCGGUAAUACGGAGGAUGCGAGCGUUAUCCGGAUUUAUUGGGUUUAAAGGGAGCGUAGGUGGACUGGUAAGUCAGUUGUGAAAGUUUGCGGCUCAACCGUAAAAUUGCAGUUGAUACUGUCAGUCUUGAGUACAGUAGAGGUGGGCGGAAUUCGUGGUGUAGCGGUGAAAUGCUUAGAUAUCACGAAGAACUCCGAUUG